rnacentral:rRNA from 1 species
CCUACGGGGGGCUGCAGUGGGGAAUAUUGGACAAUGGGGGGAACCCUGAUCCAGCCAUGCCGCGUGUGUGAAGAAGGCCCUCGGGUUGUAAAGCACUUUCAGUGAGGAAGAACGCCUGGUGGUUAAUACCCAUCAGGAAAGACAUCACUCACAGAAGAAGCACCGGCUAACUCCGUGCCAGCAGCCGCGGUAAUACGGAGGGUGCGAGCGUUAAUCGGAAUUACUGGGCGUAAAGCGCGCGUAGGUGGCUUAAUAAGCCGGUUGUGAAAGCCCCGGGCUCAACCUGGGAACGGCAUCCGGAACUGUCAAGCUAGAGUGCAGGAGAGGAAGGUAGAAUUCCCGGUGUAGCGGUGAAAUGCGUAGAGAUCGGGAGGAAUACCAGUGGCGAAGGCGGCCUUCUGGACUGACACUGACACUGAGGUGCGAAAGCGUGGGUAGCAAACAGGAUUAGAUACCCUUGUAGUC